ACGGGAGGCAGCAGUGGGGAAUAUUGGACAAUGGAGGCAACUCUGAUCCAGCAAUGCCGCGUGUGUGAUGAAGGCCCUAGGGUUGUAAAGCACUUUCAACGGUGAAGAUGAUGACGGUAGCCGUAGAAGAAGCCCCGGCUAACUUCGUGCCAGCAGCCGCGGUAAUACGAAGGGGGCGAGCGUUAUUCGGAAUUAUUGGGCGUAAAGGGCUCGCAGGCUGCUUGAACAGUUAGACGUGAAAUCCCCGGGCUUAACCUGGGAACUGCGUUUAAUACUAGCAAGCUAGAGAAAUAGAGAGGAAAGUGGAACUCCCAGUGUAGAGGUGAAAUUCGUAGAUAUUGGGAAGAACACCAGUGGCGAAAGCGACUUUCUGGCUAUUUUCUGACGCUGAGGAGCGAAAGCGUGGGGAGCAAACAGGAUUAGAUACCCUGGUAGUCCACGCCGUAAACGAUGUGUGCUAGAUGUUGGAGGGUUACCUUUCAGUGUCGCAGCUAACGCACUAAGCACACCGCCUGGGAAGUACGGUCGCAAGAUUAAAACUCAAAUGAAUUGACGG
rnacentral:rRNA from 1 species